UCAAAGAAAAAGAAUAUCUUCAUCUAUAAUCUCCAAAAUUAUUAUUUUACUUAAACUAUUCUUUG
rnacentral:tRNA from 1 species